UCCAAGCCGCAGGCAUAUCACAAUAGGACCCCCGUUGGCUGGUCCGUUCAACUUCAAGCCUGGAUAACUUCAUACAAUCUUUAUAAAAGCGCUAGAGGCACUUCCAUCAUGGUGACAGGUGAUCUAAAUAAAGCCAAGUGCACUUGAGAACGUAUAGCUCAUUCAAACACCGCAGAAUGCAACCUUGCUAGUUUUACAGUGUUUUAGGUAUGGAGUAUGACAUGGAUAAUCAAACGUACACUAGAACAAAGACUUCUAUGACUCGGCUAUGGAUCGUGAUGGCAUUUGUCUGUGUUGUUGUGUUUCUGAGUGGGUUUUUGAUAGGAUAUUUUGCCACUAAGCAGCCGAAUGAGUCCUCUCAACUCGCUGUUCCAAACGGAAUCCCGAAGGCUUCAGAUUAUUUCUACAUGCUGCAAGAGGAGGCAAGCGAGGAGAAACUCGCAGAUCAUUUGAGCCACUUCACCUCCGUGCCUCAUUUGGCGGGCUCCGAUCGCGAGGACGCGCUCGCAGACUACCUCGUCUCGCAAUGGCGGGACUUUGGAUUUGAUCACGUGACAAAGGAGCCGUACCAGGUCUACCUCUCGGCACCACAGGAAUCCCGUCCAAAUACGAUAACUGUCAUACGAGAUGGGGAGGUGGAAUACAAGAUUGAAGGGAAAAUGAAGGUGUCCCUAGAUCCAAGUUCAGGACAGAGUGAAGACUUCUAUCCCUUCAUUGGUUACUCUCCAAACGGCACUGUAGAGGGUGACCUUCUGUAUGUAAACUACGGCCUGGAACCCGACUUUAUGGAGCUGGCAAAACAUAACAUUAGCGCUGAGGGCAAGAUUGUUAUUGCGAGACAGGCAUUCACGAUCGACACAGCUGCGAAAUAUGGCGCCAUUGGCUUUAUCUCAUUCCCAGACGUCCCCUUCUACGCUCCUGAGGGGACUGGGCCAAAUGAAACGUACCCCAGCAAGCCCUGGCUAUCCCGUGAUGCAGUGCAACCUUCAUCAUUCGCAAAGUACCCAUACGUCGGAGAUCCGCUGACCCCAGGUCUUCCUGCAAUACGCGGGAUAUACAGGAAACCGCUGAGUGAGUUCAGGAAGACUGCGCCCGCGAUCCCGGCACAGCCGAUAUCCUAUGGUCAGGCGCUAGAUCUUCUCAAGCUGCUAAAAGGACCAAAUGUGCCGGACUCUUGGUACUCGAUCUUCAAUACAAACUUCAGCAUCGGACCAGGUUUCCAUGGUAACAAUACGAAGGUCCGCCUUGAAGUUAACACGCAAAGCGAGCUAAUGACGUCAUAUAACGUAAUUGGUACGAUUAGUGGCCGAGAGGAACCCGACCGGUACGUCAUUAUCGGAAACCAUCGAGAUUCGUGGGUGACUGGAGCCGGCGAUGCUUCAAGUGGGAGUGCUGUGACGUUUGAGAUCGCUCGAGUGCUCGGAAGACUUCGGAAAUCUGGUUGGCGUCCUCGACGAACGAUUAAGUUUUGUAGUUGGGGAGCCGAGGAGUGGGGAUUAUUUGGUUCGACAGAAUGGGUUGAGCAGAACCGAAAUCUUCUAAUAGAGCGAGCCGUAGCCUACAUCAACCUAGAUAUAGCCGUGCAAGGUAACUUUGUAUUGCGGACUCGCGCUAGUCCUAUGUUUAAAAACGUCACUUAUCACUGGGCAAAGAGACUAAGCGAUCCCGUCAACUCUGACAAAACUGUGUACGAAACCUGGCUUGCGCACACUCCAUCUGACCUCGAUCCCACGGAGCCAAUGAUAUACAAUCUUUUCCGAAGCAGUGAUUACGUGGCGUUUUACGAUUACAUUGGUAUCCCCUCUAGUGAUUACGGAUACUGGUUCGGAUAUAAACGUCAAAGUAGAAUGUACCCUGUCUACCAUACGACGGACGAUACGUUUUAUUGGAUGAAGAUGUUCGGGGACCCGGGUUUCAAGGCGCAUAAAGUAAUGGCCCAGCUGGUUGGAAGUAUCGUGCUAGAUGUUGCUGGUUCGAUACUUUUACCGUACAAGCUAACAGACUAUGCGCACAUGUUGAAUAUUUCCUAUAACAAGGUUCUCAACUCGAACCUUUUCUAUGGCACCGACGUUGUAGAAACACAUUUACGGUUCCUUAAGGAGGCCAUCAACAAGUUUUUCAAGGCAGCGAUAAGGUUUGACGCGGAGAAAGAUCGUAUACGUUUAAGUAAUGACACCUUGAGAAUUAGAGUUACAAAUGAUCAGAUAGUUCAAGUAGAAAAAGCGUUCAUAGCACCAGUUGGGUUGCCAGGGAAACCUUAUGACAGGCAUGUCGCCUUCAACUUUGGAUUUCACAACAUUGAUGAUCUGCGUGCAACGUUCCCUGGGAUUACCCACGAGGCGUUCCUCGCUCUGGAGUCGAAGGACUGGGACGGGUCUCGAAGGCAGAUUUCUAUGGUAAUCAAUGCCGUGCAAAUGGCAACAAGCUUGAUUGAGCGUGUCCAUUUUCCUCAAUAGAUUUUAGAUGUUUUAUGAUAAUUUGUGACGCCUUCUCAGUCCUGGGCGACUUAUAUUUGUGUAAAUAGGCCUACCAAAGGUUAACCUACCAGUUACAAAUUAGAAGGUCAUAAUCCUUGGUCAUGCACCGACUCGCACGGGUAAGAAUUGAUGUUGACCACACCCAAAGUGUUACCCCUUAGAGUGUAGGAUUAGAGUUGAUUUUGCCAACGACCACCCCCGUUUGUUUUUAAUGGAGUGCCCCCCCCCCCCCCUCAACCACAUGAGAAAAAAAUAUGUGCUCGUGUAUGCUCGCCAAUGCGCGAGACCACUUGCUAGUCUCCUUUGCAAACAUCCAGGUUAACAUUCUCCUUAAAGUAAUUUAUAUAUAUAUAUAUAUAUAUAUAUAGAAAUCGCCCGGCAAGGGUCCAUGUGCUGUUCAGACACACACGGUUGGCGUCAGCAUGCUCCCUAAAACUAGAUUGUAACGUAAGAAACAUUAUAAUUGUUGUAUAAAACAAAUAUAUCUUUCAUUGAGAAAUCAAGCACAGCGCUCGUUUGAAUAAGAAAAAAAUCAAAAACAGCGUGUGCGCUUAUUUAAAAUUUAGGUGCGCGUCACUUCAAAACCUAUAUUAUAAAAAUAAAAAUAACCUCCGUUAUUAGAAGUCAUCAUUUUAAUUACCUCUGUAAAGUUUCGUAAAAAUUCGGUCACUCUUACCUCACUCUACAUAAUAUAAGGAAGCACACGGAGCGCCUCGGCUCGCUCACGACCAACUUUGCUCAAAGACGAUCUUUUUCACAAAUUUUUACACCGUGUCGUCAAACGACCGGCCUAGAACUGUGCUCCGAAGAUGUACCCACAUCGUGAAUGUGAACAAAUCCACAUAAGCUCGUAAAUGUCAGCAGAUUCGAUAACUCCACUGCGUCAAUUACAUAUGACUUAUUUCUGACUUUUCAUAUGACUGUUUGAUCAAGUGGUUAAGUGGGGGGUUUGAUCGAGAUGUCAGGAAACAAUUAGCUGGAAAUCAAAAUACACUAGAAGACCAGCUCUACUCACAUCAAUUGAAUACUAAGAGUAACAAAGUUCGAUUUCUGAUUUUACGGUUAAGAAGAAACGAAGAGGGUGGUUUCAAAAAGUUUGUAGGGUUUAUGGCAGAUUUCUAUGGUGUUGAUAAAAUCUUCUGCCAUUGAGUUGGCUUCCCACGCCAUUGUUUACGUUAGAGCCCCAGGAUUAAUCCAAAUUGAUUGGUUAUAAAGCUAAAGGGUAGCAGGGGAUUGGGAUAAUAAAAUAAAAAGACACGA